rnacentral:lncRNA from 1 species
GUACUGAUGGACGGACGGCGACUAAGGAGAGGGGGGAAAAAAUCCUUGGCUGGUGAUGUCGGAAAGCUGUUUGAAUGCCCAGCGAGGAGGGAGGCGCGAGAGGGAGCGAGAUAGUAAAGCUCUGUCUCGGGUGUGCGCGCCGGCGCGCGGUGCUCGCCGGCGCGCGGUGCUCGCUCUCCCUUCGGCGCGCGCGCGGGGGGUGCGCGUGUCCCGGGAGCGCGUCCGCGCGGCGGCCUCCCGCGUGCUCGUGUGCGCGCGCGUCCCGGGUGCCGCGCGCCCCUCUUAUGCACAGCUGCGGUGCGCCCCGCCGCCCGCCAGAGGCUCGGCUCGCGCGGCGCGGCCGCUGCGACUUCCUGGAGUUCUGCCUGCCGGGGGCGCGGGCGGGUGUGUGAGAGAGAAGGCGAAGGGAGCCGCGGGGUGGGAGAGGAGGGAGUCCCGGCGGGAGGGCGGGGGAGAGACUGGCGGGAGGGGGGCUCCACGGAGCUCCAGCCAGGGCCGCGGUGCGCCUGCACGUCACGGCUACUCAAACCCAAGCACGUCCCGAAAGCGGUAUUUUCUGCGUCUGGGAGGUUUUUGCAUCCUCAGUUCCCACCGCUGGGGCUGGCGGCGACCAACUAUAGUCAUUUUGCCUCCUGGACAGUUGGCUGACGAAGUGUCUGAUAAACCAGCUUCAGAUACAUGCUACAAAAGAAGUCCCACUUUAUCAUUAAUGAUGACAAUAACUAAAGCUGCCAGGAACAGCACAUCUGCUGAGCUUUAUCAACACCAGGUAUUGAAGUCUAUGGACUACCUAUUAUUUCUGAACAUUUAUUCAUGUUCAGUCCUGUUUCUACCAAUUCUGAUCCACUUAUCUCUACCAUUUCUCUUCCUGGCAGAUUCUCUCAUUUUGCCUUCUGGAUCUCCAUGCUUUUUUAUACCAACAAACAAGAGGAAGAAUAUUCUCUACCCACUUCCUUGA